rnacentral:rRNA from 1 species
UGCCAGCCGCCGCGGUAAUACGGAGGGUGCAAGCGUUGUUCGGAUUUAUUGGGCGUAAAGGGCGUACAGGCGGUAGUGCAAGUCAGAUGUGAAAUGUCUCGGCUCAACCGAGGACCUGCAUUUGAUACUGCAUUACUUGAGUACAGGAGAGGAGAGCGGAAUUCUACGUGUAGCGGUGGAAUGUGUAGAUAUGUGGAAGAACACCAGUGGCGAAGGCGGCUCUCUGGCCUGAUACUGACGCUGACGCGCGAAAGCUAGGGGAGCAAACGGGAUUAGAUA